ensembl:misc_RNA 7SK 7SK RNA
GGAUGUAAGGGUGAUAUGACUGUGACUUCUGUCACCCCAUUGAUUACUAGGGUUGAUUGGGCUAAUCUGGUUGGCUAGAUGGGUGUCUCCUUCCUCCCUCACCUCUCCAUGUGCAUCCCUUCUGAAGCUGUGUGCUCAGUUGAAGAGGAUGGCCAUCCUGAUAGAGGAGGACUGGUCUUUGGUCAAGGGUAUACAAGUACUGUGCUCCCCUGCUAGAACUUCCAAACAAGCUCCCAAGUAGCUAGGACUACAGGUGUGCACCACCACGCCCAGCUAAUUUUUUAUCUUU